rnacentral:rRNA from 1 species
UUAGUAGCAGAUUGUGAUGUUGAUGCACACAGUUUUGUAUUUCCAGUUGCCUAUGGUGUGCUGGAGACAGAGUCUGAGGAGAGCUGGACUUGGUUUUUGCAUAAUCUGCGCCGGGCUAUUACACAUCCCAAUGGGUUGGUCAUUCAUACAGAUGCCUGCAAAGAUUUAGAAGUGGCCGUGGACAAUGUGUUCCCUGGAGUAGAGCAUAGGGAAUGCAUGCGUCACCUUGCUGCAAAUUUCAUGAAGAAAUUCAAAGGAAAGAUGUAUACCGACAAUUUAUGGCCAUCAUCUUUGACUUGGAGUGUGAAGAAGCACCAUUACCACUUGAGGCAGUUAUACAUGAAUCCCAAAGUGAAAGAAUACUUGGAUACACACCACUCCAAGUUAUGGGCCAGAAGCCAAUUCAGUGAACUGAGCAAAGUUGACUAUGUGCACAAUAAUCUAGCAGAGUCUUUCAACUCAACGAUCCAGAAA